GCAAGUCGAGCGGAGAUACAUGUCUAAGAGAUUUCGGUCGAAGUUAAUUGUAUCUAGCGGCGGAUGGGUGAAGGAACGCGUGGAGAACCUGCCCUUCGACAGGGGGAUAACAGCUGGAAACGGCUGUUAAUACCGCAUAUGCCUCACAGGGAUCGCAUGAUCCAGGGAGGAAAGCCGAGACGGUGAAGGAUGGCUCCGCGUCGGAUUAGCCAGUUGGCGGGGUAACGGCCCACCAAAGCCGAUGAUCCGUAGCCGGCCUGAGAGGGCGACCGGCCACAUUGGGACUGAGACACGGCCCAAACUCCUACGGGAGGCAGCAGUGGGGGAUAUUGCACAAUGGGGGAAACCCUGAUGCCAGCGACGCCGCGUGAAGGAGGAAGUGCUUCGGCAUGUAAACUUCUAUCAGCAGGGAAGAAGAUGACGGUACCUGACUAAGAAGCCCCGGCUAACUACGUGCCAGCCGCCGC
rnacentral:rRNA from 1 species